rfam:Ictidomys tridecemlineatus contig068231, whole genome shotgun sequence.
GGGGAUGUAGCUCAGUUGGUAGAGUGCUUGCCUUGCAUGCACAAGGCCCUGGGUUCAAUCCCCAGCACCACCA